ACAUUGCGGACAUGGUAUAAAUAUGAUGGGUAUAGAGUCUAUAGACAUUCCGCUCUGCGAGGGACCUAAGCAGACUGCAUAGGCUACCACAAGGUGAGCCGGCUCUACCUUAAAUAAUUAUACCAAGUUGUGGGGUUGGUGCCUGCUUAUCUUCUCUGCCUCUCCCAAUCACGGCGCCUCUCAUCGGCUCUGCCUCUGUGCCUGCGCUUGUGCUCCUAACCGCGUCCAAUUUUUGGUUUGUGUUGUUGUCACCGGAUGCCGGCCACCAUUGGCGGUGGAGGGAGCGUCACAGCUGUUCUCACCAGCCCCCAAAGCUAGGCCGAAUCCAAAGAAGCUGGCCGAUGUGAGAGAGAGGCUCACGGAGCAGACAUUCCAGUAUUUACUCCAGUCUGCCGUUCUUUAUCAGUCGUAAGUGGGCCCUGCAGGGUAGAUGAAUUGCUCUCCGGGAUCUAUUAUUAUGUUCCUGAUCAACCCUCUCUAGAACUAUUUCCAAAUACAUGGGUCGCAAUCCAACAAAAACCAGAAACCAUUGAGCAUCGCAUCAUUAGUGACGUCUCCCACCCAUACAUAUCAGUUCGAUGUUAUGGAAACUUUUAAAUCGCAAGACGAUUGAUAGAGCUGUUGUUGUUCUUUUUGUUUUGUGUUGUGGAGGCGACUAGAGUGCUUCACCCAUUUGAACUCGGCGCGUGUGCAGUCCGGCGAUGUUAACGAAGCUGAAGCUUAUUAUAUUAACAGCCGGUGAGUCUAGUUCUAUAUCGGGGGGAAUCGUACGACUCAAAAUUAAUGUGGCGGGAUGGAAUGGAGAUUCGGGCACUGAUUCGGGCUGAGAGCUCUCAUCGUUGCCGACCUGACGAUUGCGCUCUCUGUUAUCGUCGCUAUCAGCUGGACUUUAUGAUUGGCUCUCGCUCUCAAAAACUAUAUAUUUACAAAUAUGUAUACAUGCACAUACAUACACAUGUAUCAGAGUCUUUUAGAUUUGUAUUUUUAUAUCACGGCAAUAACAGGGGGCGCGUUAUCUAUAUGUAGAUAGACCAACAAGAGACCCAACAAGAGGCAUGUUGCGUAUUAAAGAGGAAUACAUAUUUACAUACUACUAUAAGAUGUUUGUUUGGAUGGGCAGUUGUUUAGUCCAUAAUUUGCUUUAGUAUGUUUCUAUGUAAUACUAAUACAAAAAAUCG